rnacentral:SRP_RNA from 1 species
GGUUACUGUGUCGGUCCUCUCGCAACGAUACGCUGUAAACCCCGCCAGGCCCGGAAGGGAGCAACGGUAGCAGCAGAUUCGUGUGCCGGGAUGUGGCUGGCAUGGUAACCGCCCAUUC